GAGCCGGCAGAGCGCUGAGGAACUGGAACCCUGGGCGGAUUCUCUUCCCACCAGGGAAGCACCUAGAGAAGCUAUUUAGUGGAUGUCUUUCCCGAGGUAGACCGUAGGGGACGCUAUUCUGUGGGAGCGGUGCCAGGUCCUGGUGAGUCAAGAGAUGCGGCCAAGAGGGACGGAGAUGUCUCCCCGCUCCUUUCAACUGGGAGGCAGCUAUACAGUUCACGGGGAACCCCAAGUCUGAAUAUCCAGAAACUGGGAACUUGAAUAUCCCGAAGGCGUCUCCAGGCCAGCUGAGGCCAGGGGCGAAGACUGUCGAGACUGGAGUCUUGCAAAUCCGCCUGCCCUGCACCCAUCCUCCUCUCCUGGUCGUCCAAGGCUCGAGGGCUCAGUUGUUCUCCAUGGUUUCUUGAAUCCAGUCCAGGAAGUCUGGAGCUCCAACUGCCUUCUCCCCCAGGACCCCGGAGUUGCUGCAGGACACCCACCCCCGUCCUUCCCAGAGCAGGUCUCACCUGGCAGGAGCCCCGGCCCCCCUCCCACAGGCCGGCGCAGAGCAUGCUGUCGGAGAUGUGGCCUGGGUACGCCCAACGGCAGAGCCGGGGCUCCAGGAUUCUGAUGUUGGCACACUGCAGCGUCAGGGGAUACUCCACUGUUGGGAAGCAGGUCGGUAGAAGGUCAGCAGCUGUCUCCUCCCAACUCAGCACUCCCCCUCCCCCCACUUUCUGAAGACGGACCCACCGCCCCACAGCACGAGACUCUCCAGACUCUCCAAGACAGGAACAAGUGACAGAGCAACAGAAUCACAGCGUGGAGGAGAGACAGAUGGGGAGGAAGGGGAGAGGGCUGUAGAGGCAGAGAAAGAUGCAGAGGGCCAAGAGAUGAGAAGAGAUAGGUAUAAAACCCACACAGGGAAAAAGAGGGACCAUGGUGGGAGACAGAGACCACUGGAGGGGAAAGAGAACUCUCACAGGAGGCAGUGAAGAAACAGGGAGAAACAGACUCAGAGAUGGGAAUUCCCUGGUGGUCCAGUUGGCUAAGACUCCGCACUCCCAAUGCAGAGGACCCAGGUUCGAUCCCUGCUCAGGGAGCCAGAUCCCACAUGCUGCAACUAUGAAGGCCACGUGCUCUAGAGUCCGUGCUCCGCCUGGGUCAGCCACCACAAUUAGAAGCCUGAGCAUCACAGCUGCAGGGUAACUCCCUGCUCUCUGAAACCAGAGAAUGCCUGCAUGCAGCGACAGAAACAAACACAAUAAAAAAUUUUUUAAAUAAAUAAAGAAACAGACCAAGAGACAUCCAGGGAGAAAGUAGUGAGAUCAAGGGGAGGAGACAUUUACAGUGAGAUAGCCGUUGGCAGAGACUGAG